AGUGAACGCUGGCGGUAGGCCUAACACAUGCAAGUCGAACGGCAGCACAGUAAGAGCUUGCUCUUACGGGUGGCGAGUGGCGGACGGGUGAGGAAUACAUCGGAAUCUACUUUUUCGUGGGGGAUAACGUAGGGAAACUUACGCUAAUACCGCAUACGACCUACGGGUGAAAGCAGGGGAUCUUCGGACCUUGCGCGAUUGAAUGAGCCGAUGUCGGAUUAGCUAGUUGGCGGGGUAAAGGCCCACCAAGGCGACGAUCCGUAGCUGGUCUGAGAGGAUGAUCAGCCACACUGGAACUGAGACACGGUCCAGACUCCUACGGGAGGCAGCAGUGGGGAAUAUUAGGCAAUGGACGCAAGCCUGAUCCAGCCAUACCGCGUGAGUGAAGAAGGCCUUCGGGUUGUAAAGCCCUUUUGUUGGGAAAGAAAAGCAGCAGGUUAAUACCCCGCUGUUCUGACGGUACCCAAAGAAUAAGCACCGGCUAACUUCGUG
rnacentral:rRNA from 1 species